rnacentral:rRNA from 1 species
GACGAACGCUGGCGGCGUGCUUAACACAUGCAAGUCGAACGGAAAGGCCCUUCGGGGUACUCGAGUGGCGAACGGGUGAGUAACACGUGGGUGAUCUGCCCUGCACUUUGGGAUAAGCCUGGGAAACUGGGUCUAAUACCGAAUAGGACCACGCGCUUCAUGGUGUGUGGUGGAAAGCUUUUGCGGUGUGGGAUGGGCCCGCGGCCUAUCAGCUUGUUGGUGGGGUAAUGGCCUACCAAGGCGACGACGGGUAGCCGGCCUGAGAGGGUGACCGGCCACACUGGGACUGAGAUACGGCCCAGACUCCUACGGGAGGCAGCAGUGGGGAAUAUUGCACAAUGGGCGCAAGCCUGAUGCAGCGACGCCGCGUGAGGGAUGACGGCCUUCGGGUUGUAAACCUCUUUCAAUAGGGACGAAGCGCAAGUGACGGUACCUAAAGAAGAAGCACCGGCCAACUACGUG